rnacentral:rRNA from 1 species
UACGUAGGAGGCGAGCGUUGUCCGGAGUUACUGGGCGUAAAGGGUGCGCAGGCGGCGGUUCGCGUGGCGAGAUGAAAUCUCCUGGCUUACCUGGGAGGAUGGUCGCCAGACGGGAUCGCUUGAGGGUCGGAGAGGGGCGUGGAAUUCCGGGUGGAGCGGUGAAAUGCGUAGAGAUCCGGAGGAACACCGACGGCGUAGGCAGCGCCCUGGACGACACCUGACGCUGAGGCACGAAAGCUGGGGGAGCGAACAGGAUUAGGAUAACCC